GUCACCAUACGGUCUACAAUCGUUAUUGUUUUAUUGAAUAUUCAAUUACAUCAUAAUAUCUACAAUUACAAUAAAGAUACAAUAAUACCACGAUAAGGAAGUUCGUAACGAUUGAACUAUAAAGUAUCAACAUUGCAAGCACGUGCUAUUUAACAUACGAGUAAUCCAGUAGGUCUCACGUCUAGUUUACAGAAAAACGUUUACAAAAAUACUGUUUACAUAACAGUUAGUGACAGAUCAGAUUAAAGGACACCAUCAUUCCUGUGUCGGCUCUCGGGAGAAGCAGACGUGUGACUCAGUGUAAACCAAAUUGACAAUACAGUUCGUGUAAAUUGUAAACAAACGCUGUGUUUAGUGCAUGUUAUUAAUCAUGGCACGAAUGAUAAUAUUGCUGCUAUGUGCGUUAGUGCUGGUAUCUGACAUCACUGGAUACAUAGUAACAUCACAGGACACCAAGAAAGAUACCACCAUGGAUAAAGCCACCAGCGAGCAAAAACCGCCACUAAGUUCACAAAAGUCUGAAGACUAUAUAAAAUACAGCUAUGUUAUAACUACCAUAUUAUAGUAAUAUGUGUUUGUAUUAAUGUUAGUAGCCAAUUUUAAAUGUCUCAUUAAAGUUAAAUUUUUAAAUGUAAACAAUAAGGAACAAAUCUCAACUUUCUCUCAGAUAUUAUGUAAUGUAGAGUCAAUCCGAAUUUUUCGUUUAUGUCUUUCAAGAAUACACUAACUGUGAUUCGCGUUUUAGUGCCAAAAUAGAUAUUGUACCUACUUAACUGUGAUCCUAAUGAUAAAUAUGUGAAACUAGUUAUUUAAGUGACUAAUAAUAUUACUUGCAACUUAUGCAGUAAAAAAUAUACACGACUGAAACUUAUUUUCUAUAGUAUUGUAAAGAUUAUGGCCUAAUAAAGUUAUUUUUGUAAAAUUUGA